CUAUUUUAUCAUAAAUCUUACUUAAAAUGAGACUUAUAACGCUAAAAUGCACACUUAAUAUGAUCAAGUAAUUGUGGCUGUGAAUUUUAUAGUGAAAUAGAAAACGGAAGUAGGCUACUUUCACUUUUAGUUGUUUGUGUGCCACCGCCCACACGGAGACAUAAAAAUACAAAAUGUCGAAGAACGAAUGGCCAGAAUUAGUGGGGAUGGUAAGAAAUCCUGUGUUUUGUAUAAUUUAAAGCAUGUCUUUCGGUUAAUACCGUUGUUUUAUUUUUUAGAAUUGCUUUUAAGCAAUGGACAUUAUGAACCUUGAUCUUGUCCCCACUGCUGCCACCAAACAUGCAACAGGAGUGGCCUACUUUUAUCUGUUUAUAUGUCACACGAAGUAGAAUUAAACUGAUAUGCUUUUUCUGUAGUUUUUUUUCUCCAAUCAACAACCCUUUUCAAUUUAAUAAUCUAUCUAAUACACACCAAACCAAAGCAAUCCAUCUAUUUAGAUCCAAAUACCGUUUGUUUUUUAUGAUUUAAAUCUAAAAUAUCUAUGACAUAAUAGAUUCCUUUGUAAAUAAUCUCCAAUAUUAUAUGCAUUAGUUAAGGCUAUAAACUUAGGAAACAACAGAAAAAUAUAUAUUUAGUCCUAGGUAGUGCUGUACAAAGGAUUAGACUCAUGCACUUUAAGAAUUUGUUGUAUGUACAUGAUGUAGAUAUUCUCACAGUUAAAAAUUGACUGUCUAGGUUCAAAAUUUUAUUUUCAAUCACACGUUUAUUUUUUACUUGAAAUUUCAUUAUGAUUUUACUGUGAAUGCUUAAUCUACUGAGCCAAACUAAUCAUGGCUUACGAAGAUAGUGGAGUUCUAAUUUAUCUUAGUAGACUGAGUGAGUAAUUACUAACAGUGACAAUCUUUGUAAUGAAAAUCGUUCUGAAACUGUAACAAAAAUAAACAAUGAAUUUCGCCAUAUAAAAGAAUUAUGGGUAUACUUCAAUGAGACAGCGGUCAAACAAAAUAAAAUUAAGACAUCUGGUUGUUAAGCUGCAUGUAUUUUCUUUUUGCAAUUCUGUUCAUUAUCAUAAUAUAAAUCUAAUUAACAAAUGUUUUUUUAAGACUUGGCAAGAAGCUGAAGAAAAAAUUAGGAAUGAAUAUCCAAAUAUGACAGUAAGUAGACAACUGGUCAAGGAAAAUAGUAAGAAUGAUAGUAGGUAAUGGAAUUUAACAUACAAUACACUCAGAAGAAAACAUUACUUCAUCCGUUUUCGCUGAACUGAAUGUGAAGUCUGCACGUCCUCUCAGAUUUAAACCUCUUUAGCCAAGUUUUUCAUGUAUAUGAUGUUACAUACAAAAAUGCCGUUGUUUUGUGACCUAAAAUCGAUGAAAUGUAUACACUUAAUAAACUAAUGGAAGGAAUUAUGGUCUGAUCUUCGUUUUUAAUGAAUAAAUGGGCGAUUGAUGAGUGACUGCUUAAUACUCCAACUUCAAAUAUUAUAUGCAUAAGCUUGUAUGUUCUAUACUGACACUGGAUCGGGUUUGUCAUGGUAGCUAGCCAUGUGGGUAAUCACGACAUAUCACAUUUAAAGUGACUUUAUCCCCAUUAGCCGUUGUUCUAACCUCUGUAUUCCACGUGCUUGGCGGAGAAGCAGAUUUUAUCAUGUUGGCUUGGACAAACAUUGUGAUUGAAUCAUUGACCUAGCUGCACUAUGAAAGAUACAACCAUGCUUCCGUGAUUCGAUGCAAUUAUAGUUUCAAUUUAAUCAUGAGUCAGUAACAUACUUAGCUGUCAUAAAUAGAACAUCUAUAAUUAAACUCAACAUCGAUAUCAGGAUUGAAAUUUAGUAUAAGCGCCAGACGCGCGUUUCGUCUACAAAAGACUCAUUAGUGAAGCUCGAAUCAAAAAAUGUUAAAAGGCCAUUGAGAACAAAAAGUUCCUAAACGUUUCGCCAUAUACAUCUUAGGUUAUCUAUUCUUGACUCAGUUGAGGUAGAAAUGAUGUCAAUAUUUUAUAUUUCAGAUUCAAGUUUUACCAGAGAAUUCUAUGGUAACAAUGGACUAUCGAGUUACCGAGUUCGUAUAUUUACUGAUGCUGAGGGCAACGCACUCAAAACCUACAGUGGAUAUUAAAAGUGACGCCAUGGCGACUAGAUAAUGAUUUAACUUUUUGCUAAUUAUAGGGGAA
rnacentral:lncRNA from 1 species